GUCUGAGAGUGUGUGUGUGUGUGUCUGAAUGUGUGUGUAUCUGAGUGUAUGUGUGUGUGUGUGUCUGUGAGUGUAUGUGGGUGUGUCUGAAUGUGUAUUUGUCUUUGGUGUAUGUGUGUAAUGGUGUAUGUGCGUGUCUGUUAGUGCAUGUGUGUGACUGUGUAUGUGUGUCUAUGUAUGGGUCUCUGAAUGUAUGUGUGUUUGUAUUUAUGUGUGUGUCUGUAUGUAUGUGUCUA